AGCUAUUAUAGGUGCUUACGUCCAGAUACUAAUAUUACAACCAAAUUGGAUGUUAAGUAAUUUCGGAUAACUUUAUAUGUUGCUAUUGGGUGAACAUUGGAUAACUCGUAUCUAUAACUCACGUGUUUCCUAUUGCAUUUAUUGCCUAUGAAAGAAACUAUUAUUGUGCUUGCGCCAGAUUACUAAUAUUAACAACCAAAUUGGAUGCUGGGGUAAUUUAAUAUCAGAUUACUGUAUAUGUUGCUAUUGGAUGAACAUGUUAGGUUUGUAUUUGUACUGAGCAUUGAGUUUAUUAUUUACUUUUCAGUUUUUUUAUAGGGUAAUGAUUCAUUGUUUAUUUUUGCUAAUCUCUGUAAGUAAUAUACUGUGUGCUACUUUAUCAGCUGAAUUGAAGAAGAAGAGCACAAAACCUAAAAGACCGUCUAUUAAGACUUGUUUGAUGAUGAGUCAACAAUGGAUGCCAAGCAACCAGUCCAAGGGAGCUUCUUAAACCUCCUACCUACUCAACCUGAAGUUCCGGAGAAAAGUGAAUCACAAUGAUCUUAACUAACACUUUGCAUGACAUUUCUUAGAUGGCAAUGAAGAUACUACCAGGUGCUGGACGGUUACUGAUUGUUUUAAAUCGUUUUCCUGCAUUCUUUUGUUAAUUUGGCGUGGAUAGUUUUGGGAGUGAAGGCCCCAAAGCUAGUCGAUUUAGAGAACAGGGUUUUGGGAUGACUGGGUAUUUGUCUGUCUGUGCAAAAGGUCUUGGAAAGUAUAUAUAUUCAUCAAGUUUUAGUUUAUAUUUUCGUUUUUCAUCUUUUUUAUCAAGCUUCAAUAUUGGUGAUUAAUGUUCAAGUGUCUUUUUUUUUUUUUUUUUGUAAUUAUGUAACUUCUAAGGUUUUGAGAAGGAUGGGCAAUUCACACAGACACACGAGUGCUUGCCUUUGUUUAUCAUGUAGAAAUAGUUCAGCAUUCUCGUUGAUAUCUGACUCAACCUACAUCAAUGAAUGUUCAAAACCUGCCUUCAAAGUCUCCCA